rnacentral:rRNA from 1 species
GUGGGGAAUAUUGGACAAUGGGCGCAAGCCUGAUCCAGCAAUGCCGCGUGUGUGAAGAAGGUCUUCGGAUCGUAAAGCACUUUCGACGGGGACGAUGAUGACGGUACCCGUAGAAGAAGCCCCGGCUAACUUCGUGCCAGCAGCCGCGGUAAUACGAAGGGGGCUAGCGUUGCUCGGAAUUACUGGGCGUAAAGGGCGCGUAGGCGGCUCUGUGAGUCAGGCGUGAAAUUCCUGGGCUUAACCUGGGGACUGCGCUUGAUACUGCAGGGCUUGAGGCCGAGAGAGGGUGGUGGAAUUCCCAGUGUAGAGGUGAAAUUCGUAGAUAUUGGGAAGAACACCGGUGGCGAAGGCGACCACCUGGCUCGGUACUGACGCUGAGGCGCGACAGCGUGGGGAGCAAACAGGAUUAGAUACCCGUGUAGUCC